rnacentral:lncRNA from 1 species
AAAAUUAGAGCUGCUGUAUGCAAAGCAAUGUCGUGCUGAGAGCCCAAGCAGCAGUCAGCCCUGCCUGUCCCUGAAUUGCCUCCAGUGCAUACUCGCAAAAAUGACCAGGGAGACGGCUCCCGGUCAGAGCAUCCCCUCGGAGCUGGUGGAGGCCACGCUGACAUUGCUGCUCCUCUGCCUGAGAGCAAAGCUCGGCGGUGCUUGGAACUGCCGGCUCAGACGGGCACCGAGUUGCCGCUCGGCUCCGGCUGCGCCAAGCAGCCACCCAGGGUCUUCCAGAUCGAAUUUGCUCUGUUUGCAAACCAGAAGAUGAUUUUCCUAAUGGCUGUAACUACAUUGCUCAUAUUCUGGCUGCACAGACUUGCUCCUGUAUAGCUGCAGUGCAUCUGGGAGGAGGGAAGGUCGGGGGCACUUGGAGGCCUCUUUCAACUCGGGUCCUCGUGGGAAUUGCCAGAAUCCAGUCUCACCUCUUGGAGGGAGGAAUCUUCCUCAUCCGAUCAUGCCCAGCGAUAGAGAUCGCUCAAGACGUUGCGCCGCAGGCAUCCUUCCCGACGGAGGUAGCAAAGUCCCAGAAUGAUCUGCGUGGGCUGUACAAAGCAAAACCGCUCAGGAAAUUCAAGGAUUUUGACCCGCUUCCUCGCAUCCUGCUCUGUAGUGCAGCAGCGGUGGCCGCGUCCUCAGCACGGUGGAAGGACGACGUGGUUUGUGUGAGCUGAGCAGAGGUGGUCCCGCGUCCCGCGCCAAG